GUUAGGAAUAUUGGACAAUGGGCGCAAGCCUGAUCCAGCCAUGCCGCGUGAGUGAUGAAGGCCUUCGGGUUGUAAAGCUCUUUAGUCCACGAAUAUAAUGACUGUAGUGGAAGAAUAAGCCCCGGCUAACUUCGUGCCAGCAGACGCGGUAAUACGAAGGGGGCGAGCGUUAUUCGGAAUCACUGGGCGUAAAGCGUGCGUAGGAUGUUUUGUAAGUCAGAAGUGAAAGCCCAGGGCUUAACACUGGAAUUGCUUUUGAAACUACAAGACUCGAAUUCGGGAGAGGAUAGCGAAAUUGUCAUUGUAGCAUUGAAAUGCGUAGAUAUUGACAGGAACACCAGUGGCGCAAGCGGCUAUCUGGACCGAUAUUGACGCUGAGGCACGAAAGCGUGGGGAGCAAACAGGAUUAGAUACCCGAGUAGUCC
rnacentral:rRNA from 1 species